AGAGUUUGAUCAUGGCUCAGAUUGAACGCUGGCGGCAGGCCUAACACAUGCAAGUCGAACGGUAACAGGAARCAGCUUGCUGYUUCGCUGACGAGUGGCGGACGGGUGAGUAAUGUCUGGGAAACUGCCUGAUGGAGGGGGAUAACUACUGGAAACGGUAGCUAAUACCGCAUAACGUCGCAAGACCAAAGAGGGGGACCUUMGGGCCUCUUGCCAUCGGAUGUGCCCAGAUGGGAUUAGCUAGUAGGUGGGGUAACGGCUCACCUAGGCGACGAUCCCUAGCUGGUCUGAGAGGAUGACCAGCCACACUGGAACUGAGACACGGUCCAGACUCCUACGGGAGGCAGCAGUGGGGAAUAUUGCACAAUGGGCGCAAGCCUGAUGCAGCCAUGCCGCGUGUAUGAAGAAGGCCUUCGGGUUGUAAAGUACUUUCAGCGGGGAGGAAGGGAGUAAAGUUAAUACCUUUGCUCAUUGACGUUACCCGCAGAAGAAGCACCGGCUAACUCCGUGCCAGCMGCCGCGGUAAUWC
rnacentral:rRNA from 1 species